AAGCGGUGGAGCAUGUGGCUCAAUUCGAAGCAACGCGCAGAACCUUACCUGGGUUUGACAUGGUCGGAUUAGUCGGUGGAAACAUCGAUGAGGCCCGCAAGGGUACAACGAUCACAGGUGCUGCAUGGCUGUCGUCAGCUCGUGCUGUGAAGCGUCGGGUUAAGUCCCUUAACGAGCGCAACCCUUGUCGUUAGUUACUAACAGGUAAUGCUGAGGACUCUAACGAGACUGCCGGUGUCAAACCGGAGGAAGGUGGGGAUG
rnacentral:rRNA from 1 species